rnacentral:rRNA from 1 species
AGCGUUGCUCGGAAUUACUGGGCGUAAAGGGCGCGUAGGCGGAUCGUUAAGUCAGAGGUGAAAUCCCAGGGCUCAACCCUGGAACUGCCUUUGAUACUGGCGAUCUUGAGUAUGAGAGAGGUAUGUGGAACUCCGAGUGUAG